rnacentral:rRNA from 1 species
CCUACGAGCGGCAGCAGUGAGGAAUAUUGGACAAUGGACGCAAGUCUGAACCAGCCAUGCCGCGUGCAGGAAGACGGCUCUAUGAGUGGUAAACUGCUUUUGUACGAGGGUAAACGCAGAUACGCGUAUCUGUCUGAAAGUAUCGUACGAAUACGGAUCGGCUAACUCCGUGCCAGCAGCCGCGGUAAUACGGAGGAUUCAAGCGUUAUCCGGAUUUAUUGGGUUUAAAGGGUGCGUAGGCGGUCGGAUAAGUUAGAGGUGAAAUCCCGAGGCUCAACUUCGGAAUUGCCUCUGAUACUGUUCGGCUAGAGAGUAGUUGCGGUAGGCGGAAUGUAUGGUGUAGCGGUGAAAUGCUUAGAGAUCAUACAGAACACCGAUUGCUAAGGCAGCUUACCAAGCUACUUCUGACGUUGAGGCACGAAAGCGUGGGGAGCAAACAGGAUUAGAUACCCCAGUAGUC